rnacentral:rRNA from 1 species
AGUGAACGCUGGCGGUAGGCCUAACACAUGCAAGUCGAACGGCAGCACAUUAAGAGCUUGCUCUUACGGGUGGCGAGUGGCGGACGGGUGAGGAAUACAUCGGAAUCUACUUUUUCGUGGGGGAUAACGUAUGGAAACUUACGCUAAUACCGCAUACGACCUACGGGUGAAAGCAGGGGAUCUUCGGACCUUGCGCGAUUGAAUGAGCCGAUGUCGGAUUAGCUAGUUGGCGGGGUAAAGGCCCACCAAGGCGACGAUCCGUAGCUGGUCUGAGAGGAUGAUCAGCCACACUGGAACUGAGACACGGUCCAGACUCCUACGGGAGGCAGCAGUGGGGAAUAUUGGACAAAGGGCGCAAGCCUGAUCCAGCCAUACCGCGUGGGUGAAGAAGGCCUUCGGGUUGUAAAGCCCUUUUGUUGGGAAAGAAAAGCAGCAGGUUAAUACCCCGCUGUUCUGACGGUACCCAAAGAAUAAGCACCGGCUAACUUCGUG